UACGGAAGGCAGCAGUGGGGAAUAUUGCACAAUGGGCGCAAGCCUGAUGCAGCCAUGCCGCGUGUAUGAAGAAGGCCUUCGGGUUGUAAAGUACUUUCAGUCGUGAAGAAGGUGUUAAGGUUAAUAACCUUAGCAAUUGACGUUAGCGACAGAAGAAGCACCGGCUAACUCCGUGCCAGCAGCCGCGGUAAUACGGAGGGUGCGAGCGUUAAUCGGAAUUACUGGGCGUAAAGGGCACGCAGGCGGUUAAUUAAGUUGGAUGUGAAAUCCCCGGGCUUAACCUGGGAAUGGCAUUCAAGACUGGUUAGCUAGAGUCUUGUAGAGGGGGUAGAAUUCCAUGUGUAGCGGUGAAAUGCGUAGAGAUGUGGAGGAAUACCGGUGGCGAAGGCGGCCCCUGGGACAAAGACUGACGCUCAUGUGCGAAAGCGUGGGGAGCAAACAGGGAUUAGAUACC
rnacentral:rRNA from 1 species